GAUGAACGCUAGCUACAGGCUUAACACAUGCAAGUCGAGGGGAAACGGCAUUGAGUGCUUGCACUCUUUGGACGUCGACCGGCGCACGGGUGAGUAACGCGUAUCCAACCUUCCCAUUACUGUGGGAUAACCUGCCGAAAGGCAGACUAAUACCGCAUAGUCUUCGUUGACGGCAUCAGAUAUGAAGUAAAGAUUUAUCGGUAAUGGAUGGGGAUGCGUCUGAUUAGCUUGUUGGCGGGGUAACGGCCCACCAAGGCAACGAUCAGUAGGGGUUCUGAGAGGAAGGUCCCCCACAUUGGAACUGAGACACGGUCCAAACUCCUACGGGAGGCAGCAGUGAGGAAUAUUGGUCAAUGGACGGAAGUCUGAACCAGCCAAGUAGCGUGCAGGAUGACGGCCCUAUGGGUUGUAAACUGCUUUUGUAUGGGGAUAAAGUUAGGGACGUGUCCCUAUUUGCAGGUACCAUACGAAUAAGGACCGGCUAAUUCCGUGCCAGCAGCCGCGGUAAUACGGAAGGUCCAGGCGUUAUCCGGAUUUAUUGGGUUUAAAGGGAGCGUAGGCUGGAGAUUAAGUGUGUUGUGAAAUGUAGACGCUCAACGUCUGAAUUGCAGCGCAUACUGGUUUCCUUGAGUACGCACAACGUUGGCGGAAUUCGUCGUGUAGCGGUGAAAUGCUUAGAUAUGACGAAGAACUCCGAUUGCGAAGGCAGCUGACGGGAGCGCAACUGACGCUUAAGCUCGAAGGUGCGGGUAUCAAACAGG
rnacentral:rRNA from 1 species